rfam:Mycobacterium heidelbergense strain DSM 44471 NODE_84_length_1484_cov_160.988, whole genome shotgun sequence.
CUUGAUCAGAGCUACUGGACUUUCAGAUCAUCCUCGGGAAGGUGCGCCCACUUUCACGCCCCCACACCGAGGCU